GAUGAACGCUAGCGGAAGGCAUAAUACAUGCAAGUCGAACGGAUGUAGCAAUACAUUAGUGGCGCACGGGUGCGUAACGCGUAUGCAACCUACCUUCAUCAGGGGGAUAACUACUCGAAAGGGUGGCUAACACCGCAUAAUACUACUGAAUGGCAUCAUUUGGUAUUUAAAUCUGAGGAGGAUGAAGAUGGGCAUGCGUCUGAUUAGCUAGUUGGUGUGGUAACGGCGCACCAAGGCGACGAUCAGUAGGGGAACUGAGAGGUUGGUCCCCCACACUGGCACGGAGAUACGGGCCAGACUCCUAUGGGAGGAAGCAGUAGGGAAUAUUGGUCAAUGGUGGGAACACUGAACCAGCCAUUCCGCGUGCAGGAAGAAGGGUCUCUGACUUGUAAACUGCUUUAGCAAGGGAAGAAAAAGCUCAUGCGUGAGAAAUUGACGGUACCUUGAGAACAAGCACCGGCUAACUACGUGCCAGCCGCCGCGGUAAAAC
rnacentral:rRNA from 1 species